AACGAACGCUGGCGGCAGGCUUAACACAUGCAAGUCGAACGCAUCCUUCGGGGUGAGUGGCAGACGGGUGAGUAACGCGUGGGAACGUGCCCUUCAGUUCGGGAUAACCCAGGGAAACUUGGGCUAAUACCGGAUACGUGCGAGAGCAGAAAGAUUUAUCGCUGAAGGAUCGGCCCGCGUCUGAUUAGCUAGUUGGUGGGGUAAUGGCCCACCAAGGCGACGAUCAGUAGCUGGUCUGAGAGGAUGAUCAGCCACAUUGGGACUGAGACACGGCCCAAACCCCUACGGGAGGCAGCAGUGGGGAAUAUUGGACAAUGGGCGCAAGCCUGAUCCAGCCAUGCCGCGUGAGUGAUGAAGGCCUUAGGGUUGUAAAGCUCUUUCGUCCGGGACGAUAAUGACGGUACUGGAAGAAGAAGCCCCGGCUAACUUCGUGCCAGCCGCCGCGGUAA
rnacentral:rRNA from 1 species